CAUUUGUUCUCUAAAUAAGGACUUGUAUGAAAGGCCACACGAGGGUUUAACUGUCUCUUACUUCCAAUCAGUGAAAUUGACCUUCCCGUGAAGAGGCGGGAAUAAAAUAAUAAGACGAGAAGACCCUAUGGAGCUUCAAUUAAUUAGCUCAAAAGGAUUUAUUUACCAGACCGACAGGAACAACAUAUUCCUUCCAUGAGCUAGCAAUUUAGGUUGGGGCGACCUCGGAGUACAAAAUAACCUCCGAGUGAUAUUAAUCUAGACGUACCAGUCAAAAUGCUCACUUACUUAUUGAUCCAAAGCUUCUUUGAUCAACGGAACAAGUUACCCUAGGGAUAACAGCGCAAUCCUAUUUAAGAGUCCAUAUCGACAAUAGGGUUUACGACCUCGAUGUUGGAUCAGGACAUCCUAAUGGUGCAGCAGCUAUUAAGGGUUCGUUUGUUCAACGAUUAAAGUCCU
rnacentral:rRNA from 1 species